CUGAUGCGUUGUUGGGUAGGGGAGCGUUCUGUAAGCCUGCGAAGGUGUGCUGUGAGGCAUGCUGGAGGUAUCAGAAGUGCGAAUGCUGACAUAAGUAACGAUAAAGCGGGUGAAAAGCCCGCUCGCCGGAAGACCAAGGGUUCCUGUCCAACGUUAAUCGGGGCAGGGUGAGUCGACCCCUAAGGCGAGGCCGAAAGGCGUAGUCGAUGGGAAACAGGUUAAUAUUCCUGUACUUGGUGUUACUGCGAAGGGGGGACGGAGAAGGCUAUGUUGGCCGGGCGACGGUUGUCCCGGUUUAAGCGUGUAGGCUGGUUUUCCAGGCAAAUCCGGAAAAUCAAGGCUGAGGCGUGAUGACGAGGCACUACGGUGCUGAAGCAACAAAUGCCCUGCUUCCAGGAAAAGCCUCUAAGCAUCAGGUAACAUCAAAUCGUACCCCAAACCGACACAGGUGGUCAGGUAGAGAAUACCAAGGCGCUUGAGAGAACUCGGGUGAAGGAACUAGGCAAAAUGGUGCCGUAACUUCGGGAGAAGG
rnacentral:rRNA from 1 species